rnacentral:rRNA from 1 species
UACGGGGGGGGCAAGCGUUGUUCGGAAUUACUGGGCGUAAAGGGCUCGUAGGCGGCCAACUAAGUCAGACGUGAAAUCCCUCGGCUUAACCGGGGAACUGCGUCUGAUACUGGAUGGCUUGAGUUCGGGAGAGGGAUGUGGAAUUCCAGGUGUAGCGGUGAAAUGCGUAGAUAUCUGGAGGAACACCGGUGGCGAAGGCGGCAUCCUGGACCGACACUGACGCUGAUGAGCGAAAGCCAGGGAGCAAACGGG